UUGGCAUGGCGUUCUGCGUUGAGCUACGUUGCUACGCUCUCUGACGAUUAUUUCCUGUCGCAGUCGUGGGUUCGAAUCGCAGUGGAGAGAGAGAGAGAAGAGAGGCAGGUUUGCUUUGGAAUUCGCUGCUCAACAGGCAAAUUUCAUGUCCACAUUGGGGCGAGAGCAAAAGCACGUUUUGUUUCACUCCACGAAGGUUACGCGACUACUUCAUUGCUUGGCGGAUCCUUUACUAUAUCUAUAUAAACGACAUUCCUUU